rnacentral:rRNA from 1 species
CAGCCGCCACGGUAAUACGAAGGGUGCAAGCGUUACUCGGAAUUACUGGGCGUAAAGCGUGCGUAGGUGGUGGUUUAAGUCCGUUGUGAAAGCCCUGGGCUCAACCUGGGAAUUGCAGUGGAUACUGGGUCACUAGAGUGUGGUAGAGGAUAGUGGAAUUUCCGGUGUAGCAGUGAAAUGCGUAGAUAUAGGAAGGAACACCAGUGGCGAAGGCGACCACCUGGACUGAUACUGACACUGAGGUGCGAAAGCGUGGGGAGCAAACAGGAUUAGAUACCCCUGUAGUCCCUGUCUCUUAUAC